rnacentral:rRNA from 1 species
UAGGGAAUAUUGCGCAAUGGAGGAAACUCUGACGCAGCGACGCCGCGUGGGUGACGAAGGCCUUCGGGUCGUAAAGCCCUGUCGGAGGGGACGAAAGAAUCGGUGUUAACACCGCCGAGAGAUGACGGUACCCUCAAAGGAAGCACCGGCUAACUACGUGCCAGCAGCCGCGGUAAUACGUAGGGUGCAAGCGUUGUUCGGAAUCAUUGGGCGUAAAGCGUGUGUAGGUGGCUUGCUAAGUUGAUUGUGAAAUCCCUGGGCUCAACCGAGGAAGUGCAGUCAAAACUAGCAGGCUAGAGGACAGCAGAGGAAGGUGGAAUUCCAAGUGUAGAGGUGAAAUUCGUAGAUAUUUGGAGGAAUACCGGCGGCGAAGGCGGCCUUCUGGACUGUUCCUGACACU